rnacentral:rRNA from 1 species
CACGUAGGGCGCAAGCGUUGUCCGGAAUUAUUGGGCGUAAAGGGCUCGUAGGCGGUUUGUCGCGUCGGGAGUGAAAACACCGGGCUUAACUCGGUGCUUGCUUUCGAUACGGGCAGACUAGAGGCAUGCAGGGGAGAACGGAAUUCCUGGUGUAGCGGUGAAAUGCGCAGAUAUCAGGAGGAACACCGGUGGCGAAGGCGGUUCUCUGGGCAUGUCCUGACGCUGAGGAGCGAAAGUGUGGGGAGCGAACAGG